GCCUUUGCCAACCUGGUAUCUUCCAGAUGUUUUGGACUUAAAACUUCCAUCAGCCCUGCUGAUUGAGGCCAAUGGGAGUUGUAGUCCAAAAUAUCUGGAGGCUACCAGGUUGCCAAAGGC